rnacentral:tRNA from 1 species
CAAAGAGUAGUUUAGCUUAGAAUCUCAGCUUUGGGAGUUGAGGGCAGGAGUUAGAGUCUCUUCUCUUUGA